GAGGAUAUUGCUCAGUUGGUAGAGUGCUUGCCUUGCAUGCACAGGCCCUGGGUUCAAUCCCCAGCACCCCA
rnacentral:tRNA from 1 species